rnacentral:rRNA from 1 species
GACGAACCGUGCGAACGUUGUUCGGAUUCACUGGGCUUAAAGGGCGCGUAGGCGGUCGACCAAGUCUGGGGUGAAAUCUUUCGGCUCAACCGGAAAAGUGCCCCCGAUACUGGCCGGCUAGAGGGAGAUAGGGGCAUGCGGAACUUCCGGUGGAGCGGUGAAAUGCGUAGAUAUCGGAAGGAACGCCGGUGGCGAAAGCGGCGUGCUGGAUCUCUUCUGACGCUGAGGCGCGAAAGCCAGGGG